UGGUUCUCCCCGAAAGCUAUUUAGGUAGCGCCUCGUGAAUUCAUCUCCGGGGGUAGAGCACUGUUUCGGCUAGGGGGCCAUCCCGGCUUACCAACCCGAUGCAAACUGCGAAUACCGGAGAAUGUUAUCACGGGAGACACACGGCGGGUGCUAACGUCCGUCGUGAAGAGGGAAACAACCCAGACCGCCAGCUAAGGUCCCAAAGUCAUGGUUAAGUGGGAAACGAUGUGGGAAGGCCCAGACAGCCAGGAUGUUGGCUUAGAAGCAGCCAUCAUUUAAAGAAAGCGUAAUAGCUCACUGGUCGAGUCGGCCUGCGCGGAAGAUGUAACGGGGCUAAACCAU
rnacentral:rRNA from 3 species